CGUGAGGAACCUGCCUUCCAGAGGGGGACAACAGUUGGAAACGACUGCUAAUACCGCAUGAUGCAUUUGAAUCGCAUGGUUUGAAUGUCAAAGAUUUAUCGCUGGAAGAUGGCCUCGCGUCUGAUUAGCUAGUUGGUGAGGUAACGGCCCACCAAGGCGACGAUCAGUAGCCGGACUGAGAGGUUGGCCGGCCACAUUGGGACUGAGAUACGGCCCAGACUCCUACGGGAGGCAGCAG
rnacentral:rRNA from 1 species